ACAAAUAUUAGUUUUCUCUUUAGUUUUCAAGUUGAUCAUUUUCUUUAUUGAAAUGUAUCAAUACAUUUUUCAACCUUGUUAGCCCUGCCAAUUUAAUGUCAAAUUUACAAUAUGCACAUUUCUGCUCGGCCAAAUUCAUGUAGCUAAAACAAGCAGAAAUGUGCACCACUCAGCGCCAUUUUUUUCUAGAGAGAGCUGCAAGUUUUGCUAGUUUUUGGAGUACGGGAACGCGUUGUAGCAGAAUUAGUGCUAAUUAGUACUAAUUUGCAGGUUCUGGAACACAACUAUUAUGAGCAAGGCUGAACAUGUUGCCAGAUUGUUGAACAAAAAGGAAAAGAUGAAAAUAAUCAAUCCAACGGGUUGAUAUCCGGAGAUUUUGGUGACCAUUGCGCGCUGGAAAUGAAGCGAGGAACCUCAUUUUGUAACCAUUCUUGGGUGGCGCGGCCAAAAUGUUUGCGAGUCCAAGGCUUUAAUACACCCUCCAGAGUAUAGUAUAGUAUUUUCGAGAUAAUAUUCGGCAUUUAUUCUGUCGAUUAAUACGAGCGGAGAGCGAGCAUCGGCUGUUAUGGCGGCCCACACUAUCACCAUGACCGGCGCUUGAGUUCUGGUGGUCAACCGAAGGUGUACAUUUUCAGCUGACCUCUUUGGCAAGUAAACACGAUCAUUUUGUUUUUUCAUCGCAGAAAACCAAAUUCGAUAGUUCACCACUUCGGCCAAGCGAAGCAACUCUUUAGCUCUUUUGAGUCUAUUUUCUUUUUGUAGCGAUGUAAGUUCUUGCAAUUUUUGGAAUUUCAAUGGCUUUAUCCCGAGCUCAUUUUUUAAUAUUUGCCGAAAGGGAUAUUGCGAUAUGUUCAGCUCACGCCAUUUUUCAUUUCGGCCACUGCUACGCCGGUUUCGAUCAAGUCGCUUCUUUAAUUUUCGAACCGUUUCUGCUGAUGUUGCUGUUUUCUUCCGUCCACUUCAUUUACGUCGUGCUACGCUACCAGUAUCACGGUAACAAGCGAUGGUACGAGACACAAAAGAUUUAUUCACAUUUAAAUGCUGGAGUGCUCCACCGAUCGCCACUUGUGGUUUUCCAGCCAAAUAUAAAUUAAUCACACUAUCACGCUUGAAUUCCGUCACGAAUAACUUUUUUCUCUAAAAUGCUCACCAAAAUGCUUUUGUACGCUUGUAACAAUAUAAUGAGCUGUCACUGGAAUAAUUUUAAAAGCUGUCGGACGAGUGGCUUAGAAAUACUUUAUAGCAGUGCAUUGUUAAGUAGUUUUUACCAACAUAUUUUAGGCCGUCCAUGUUUUCCAAAAUGGGAUUUUAGGACAAAAACAAAGCAACCAGACGAUUAAAGGUGCAUGUACACAUAUAUGGUAAAAAAUGCAAAAGGAAAAACAAGGGAAAUAAAGAGAAUUAUAUAAUAACUUGAAGGCCGUUUAAAACCUGCGAUUUCUACUAUUGAAUUGAGCUCAAGCCUGAAGUUCUUUCUAUUCGGGUUACCG